GCUUCAAAAUAUAUAAUAACUCUAAGUGUUUCUCUCUUUUAAUAUUCAUAUUUUGGUUUUCCACAUGCACAUCCAAAAUGGGUUCUUCCUGUUGAAUCUUAUCUUUAGAGACUCUUAGAUGUACGUGAAUUUACCACUUGACCUUCUUUCUUGUGAUACAUCUGGGUUCGGUUAAGGCCUUAAAAGCUUUCUUCGAAAAUCAUUUUCAUGUCCCUUAGAAGGGGAAGAAAAUCGUUGUUCAGCUGGGAACCAUAAUAUGGUUCAAGAGAGAAACAUGCACAACCUGAACCUUUGAAGAUGAUGGCAGAUAGCAUUUAAGCGACUUCACCAACCCUUUUUAUGACUUCGUAGGGGCCAAAGAAGCGUUUUGCCAACUUUUGAGAAGUUAUCUUUAUAACAGUCUGUUAUUGAUAAGGUUGAAGCUUCAAUAGAACCAGAUCGCCUUUUUCGAAGGGAGUUAUCCAAGGAUUCAUCUACAACUGUCACAGAUCGUAUAGCUUUAAACGACAUCAUCUAAAUUGUGGUGUGAAAUGAUAUGUUAUACCAGAACUCAGCAAGGUGUAGAAACUUGUACCACUGGUGAGGAUGAUCACUUUCAAAUCACUUAAGUUCCAUAGAUUUUGAAAAACUACUUCCAAAAGCUGUUGAAGAAAAAAUGGAUCGCAGUCAGAGAUGAUGGAUUUGGUAACUCCUUAAAGGCGAUAAAUUUCCAUAGAGAAACGAGAUGCAAGGUCCUUUAACAUCAGUGUGGCCAAGAGAUCUGGAAUAGGGGAGGAUAAAUCCAAUAGCUAAGAGUCUUAAGAAUGAUAUUUUCUACUCAAAGCAUCAGCAACUAAAUUUGAUUUUCCAAGUUUGUAGAAUAUUUCGAAAUUAAAUCCUUGUAAUUUAGAUGCCUAUUUAUGUUGUUCCGGAGUUUGGAUUUUGUGAAGUAACAGAUUACACAGACUCUUUUGACCAGUGUAAAUGUGAAAUUGUUGUCUGAUAAGGUAUUGAAGCCAUUUUUUACUGCUUCUGUAACAACAAAUAUCUCACGCACAUAGAUAGAAGCAGCCUACAUUCAAGGCACAUCUUUUUACUGAAGAAAGCACUAGGAUGACCUCCUUGAGACAACAUUGCACCAAUAAUAACACUUGAAGCAUCGGUCUCUAUAAUGAAUUGUUUUGUAAAAUCUGGCAAAGCUAGGACCGACAUGGCGGUCAUAUUUUUUUUGUGCUUUUGUAAAGGCUAUAACCUCUGUACUCCAGAGAAAUUUAGUGGAACGU